UACGUAGGGUGCGAGCGUGUCCGGAAUUAUUGGGCGUAAAGAGCUCGUAGGCGGUCUGUCACGUCGGUCGUGAAAACUUGGGGCUUAACUCUGAGCUUGCGGUCGAUACGGGCAUGACUGGAGUUCGGCAGGGGAGACUGGAAUUCCUGGUGUAGCGGUGAAAUGCGCAGAUAUCAGGAGGAACACCGGUUGGGCGAAGGCGGGUCUCUGGGCCGAUAACU
rnacentral:rRNA from 1 species